CCUACGGGAGGCUGCAGUGAGGAAUAUUGGUCAAUGGACGAGAGUCUGAACCAGCCAAGUAGCGUGAAGGAUGACUGCCCUAUGGGUUGUAAACUUCUUUUAUAUGGGAAUAAAAUGUUCCACGUGUGGGAUUUUGUAUGUACCAUAUGAAUAAGGAUCGGCUAACUCCGUGCCAGCAGCCGCGGUAAUACGGAGGAUCCGAGCGUUAUCCGGAUUUAUUGGGUGUAAAGGGAGCGUAGGUGGAUUGUUAAGUCAGUUGUGAAAGUUUGCGGCUCAACCGUAAAAUUGCAGUUGAAGCUGGCAGUCUUGAGUACAGUAGAGGUGGGCGGAAUUCGUGGUGUAGCGGUGAAAUGCUUAGAUAUCACGAAGAACUCCGAUGGCGAAGGCAGUUCACUGGACUGCAACUGACACUGAGGCUCGAAAGUGUGGGUAUCAAACAGGAUUAGAUACCCCAGUAGUC
rnacentral:rRNA from 1 species